rnacentral:rRNA from 1 species
GACGAACGCUGGCGGCGUGCUUAACACAUGCAAGUCGAACGAAGUGGCGAACGGGUGAGUAACGCGUAAUCAACCUGCCCUUCAGAGGGGGACACCAGUUGGAAACGACUGCUAAUACCGCAUACGGAAGGAGGGGAUUGCGUCUGAAUAGCUAGUUGGGGGGGUAACGGCCCACCAAAGCGAUGAUCCGUAGCCGGUCUUAGAGGAUGAACGGCCACAUGGGGACUGAGAACAGGCCCAGACUCCUACGGGAGGCAGCAGUUGGGAAUCUUCCGAAAUGGACGAAAGUCUGACGGAGCAACGCCGCGUGAGUGAUGACGGCCUUCGGGUUGUAAAGCUCUGUUAAGCGGGACGCGGUACCGGAAUAGAAAGCCACGGCUAACUACGUGCCAGCAGCCGCGGUAAUUC